rnacentral:misc_RNA from 1 species
UUAAUUAAAAGUCUUAACAAUUUUUCCGUAGGUGAACCUGCGGAAGGAUCAUUCAUAAUAAGUGUUUUAUGGCACUUUUUUAAAUCCAUAUCCACCUUGUGUGCAAUGUCAGGGUUGGUCUCUUUUGAUCAGCCCCAAACAUCAACUAUUAUCUCAACUCUUUGUCUGAGAAAUAUUAUGAAUAAAACAACUCAAAAUACAACUUUCAACAACGGAUCUCUUGGCUCUC